CAGACAGCUCCUUCCCCCUCCUCCUCCUCUUCCUCCACCUCCUCUUGUGCUUUGAGCAGUUAGUCUGUGAUGUGGAUGGCAGGAGGAGACGCGACACCUCCCUGAGCUCUGAGGAGGAGGACAGAGGAGAGGUGGAGCUGAAGGUGAGGGGGACGUACCUGAACGAUGGCGACUCCAGCAAACAGCAGCAGCAGAGAAAUCCACUGAACUCUGGACAGAGACUUCCUCAACAUCAUCACACUGAACAGAGCGGUGGUGAGGAUCUUCAGCUGCAGGAUGAUGAGCAGACACGUCAGGACCUUCAGGAUCUCCGCCAUGACGACGGCUGACGUCGUGAAGAAGCGAUCGCCCGGCAACGUGCGUACGUAUCGGAUGCUGAGGAUGAGCGACGCAUUCUGGACCACAAGCACCGCCAGGCUGAUGUACUUCAACUUCCUGUUGACUGCAGGGAAACACCAAAACACACCGAUCAAACCUCCAUCCGUCUCUACUGUCCUGUUUCUACUAUAAACUGACCGUCAGUCAGCAGACUCCAGUUAAAUUGGCAGAUUAUAUUAGUUUCACUUUACAAAUCAAACACACAUUCCUGCUGAUCAUUUUAUAAAUCAUCCAUCAGAUUUUAUAGGUUUUUAGAUUUCCAUCACUUUACUUCAGUAUGAUUUUAGUAUCAAUAUUUCUCUUCUUCAGACAAAAAAAUAUUUUUUAAAAGUUUCUAGUUUGGGAUAAAAUUGCUAUUUUUGUAACACCUUUUCAGAGCUGAACCAAUUUGUUGAUUAAUCGCAAACUAGUUUGAUAAUGAAUUAAUUAUUUCCAUUGAGUCCUUGUUCCGUCUUCUUAACUGUGACGAUUUGCUGCCUUUAUUUAACUGACUGUGAACUGAAUAUAUUUGGACUGUUGGUCCUGUAAAAUAAAACAUUAGAAGACGUCUCCUUGUGCUUUCAACUAAUUAAUUAAUCGAGAAAGUAAUCAUCAGAUUGAAUAAAAGUAAAAAAUACUUUUCAUUUUGUGGGUCUGAUUUCCUAAUAAUGUUUUCAAAGAACUCUAUAAUCUAACACUUUACACUGUACAGUACAUUCAUUUAGCGACUUACAUUAACUACUAAUUAAACUAAUUACAGGGCUAAUAGAGACAAAGCUAAUAUAAUCUAAUAUUUAUAUAAGAUAAUAUAACAUAUCGU